GUAGGAAGGGGAACUCCCUUGGAUCCUGCCCAGGACUUGGAAUUCCGAAGCACACAGACCAGACACCUUUGUACCUCGCUCCCCCUGCUCAGGCCCCACCUCCCCCUCCUUUCCCCGCCCCUGUGGCGUGGCCAGGUGGAGCCCAGUGCUGCCAAGGCGGCAAAGCCUCUCAGCCCUCCAUCUGGCCUCAGCCCAGAGCCAAGGCCAAAAGAGGGCUCUGAGCCCGGCCCCAUGAGGACGCUACUGACCAUCCUGGCCGCGGGAUCCCUGGCUGCUCACACUGCUGAGAACACCUCAGAUCUUCUUCAGCACGUAAAAUUCCAGUCCAGCAACUUCGAAAACAUCCUGACGUGGGACAGCGGGCUGGAGAGCGCCCCAGACUUGGUCUACAGCGUGGAGUAUAAAACGUAUGGGGAGAGAAAGUGGCUGGUGAAGGAGAGCUGCCAGCGGAUCACCAGGAAAUUCUGCAACCUGACCAUGGAAACCGGCAACUUCAUGGAGCCCUACUACGCCCGGGUAACUGCCAUCAGCGCGGGAGGUCGGUCAGUCACCAAGAUGACCGACCGGUUCACCUCGCUGCAACAGACUACCAUCAAGCCACCCGAUGUGACCUGUAUCCCCAAGGUGAGAUCCAUCCAGAUGAUCAUCCAUCCCACCUCCACACCUAUCCGAGCAGGGGAUGGCCACCAGCUCACCCUGGAGGACAUCUUCCCUGACCUGUUCUACCGUUUAGAGCUCCAGGUCAACCACACCUACCAAAUGCACCUUGGAGGGAAGCAGAGAGACUACGAGUUCACUGGCCUGACCCCUGACACAGAGUUCCUUGGGACCACCAUGAUUUUUGUUCCAAACUGGUCCAAAGAGAGCGCCCCCUACGUGUGCCGAGUGAAGACACUGCCAGAUCGGACGUGGACGUACUCCCUCUCGGGCACCAUCCUCUUCUCCAUGGGCUUCGUCGUCGCGGGGCUCUGUUACCUGAGCUACAGAUACGUCUCCAAGCCGCCUCCGCCUCCCAACUCCCUGAACGUCCAGCGAGUACUGACCUUCCAGCCUCUGCGGUUCAUCCAGGAGCACGUGCUGAUUCCCGUCUUUGACCUGAGCAGCCCCAGCAGUCUGGCCCAGCCCGUCCAGUACUCCCAAGUCAAGAUCUCUGGGCCCAGGGAGCCCCCAGGAGCCCCACCACGGCACAGUGUGUCUGAGAUCGCCUAUCUUGGGCAGCCAGACAUCUCCGUUCUCCGGGCCUCUGGAGUGCCACCUCAGCAGACGCUGUCCUCACUGUCCUACGCACCCCAGGCGGCCCCUGAAGUCAAGCCCCCGUCCUAUGCGCCCCAAGUAACCCCCGAAGCUAAAACUCCAUGCUACGCUGCACAGGCCAUGGCUGAGGUUCAGACUCCCUCCUACACCCCUCAGACCGCUCCAGACCGCUGGCCUUCCUAUGGGACCUGCGGGGAAGGCUCUGGUAGAGACUCCCCACCCGUGACACCCUCUAGUCCCCAACACCGCAGGACUAAAGGUCAGCUCCAGAAAAAGGCACCAGCUGGAACCCAUAUCCCAAAUGGCCUUUCUCUGCAAGGGGUGACCUCCUUGGAUAUAAAGGACCCCCAAGAAGCAAAUUUUUUCCACCAGCCUCUGGGAGCUCACACGGACAGAGCACCUGACCCCAGGGUACUACAUAGAGGGGAACCAGGGACACCAUCUUACCUAAAGGGCCAGCUCCCCCUUCUCGCCUCUGUCCAGAUCGAGGGCCACCCGGUCUCCCUCCCUUUGCACACUCCUUCCCUCCCAUGUUCCCCCACAGACCAGGAACCAAGUCCCUGGAGCCUGUUGGAGUCCCUCGUGUGUCCCAAGGACGAGGGUCCUGAGUCUGGGAUGGAGGCCCAGAGCCCAGCCUCUCAGGCCUUAGACCUGGAGCCACCCACAGAACUGGACUCUCUCUUUAGAGACCUGGCCCUGACCGUGCAGUGGGAGGCCUGAUCAGAGAACAGGGCAGGUCGGGGCUUCCUCCUUGUCCCCACCCAAGCUCACAUCAUCGGCCAUCACACCCACCCCCAACCUUGCCAUGUGCUCUGCAGCCUUCCCUCAGGGGAAUUCUCUUGAAAGAACCAGAGGAAAGAGGGACCCGGGGCCCCUGCCACGGCUGAGGGAGAUGUCGGAGCAAAGCGGCAUGAUUAAGGACUCCGGCCGGAGGAUUCUGAGUGUGCAGCACGUGCAGAUGAGCUCCGCGGGGCAGGAGGGGACCAUCAGAGUGCUGAGUGUUAAUGCACGGAGACCUCGUGGAGAUACAGCGCCGCCGGCUCCUAAGAGGCUGGACACGAAGUUCUCCACCCCACUCCCAGCCAGUUUCAUAAGCUAGUUCGACAGAAAGUGAGAUCUCUACCUCCUCCUGAGAAACGGAGCCCAGAAAGGACACCCCACAGCAGGCUGGGCCAAACCAGAACUUGGCCCAUGAUAGCACGAUGGCAAGACUCCAGGGAGGGGUGCAGCCUGGGGUUCAGUCCCCACCAAGCUGCUGUUGAAAAUCCACUGUCUCAACUUGGCUUUUCUGCCAGAGGCUCUACCCCAGGGGAAAAUCAGGUCUGCCCGUGAGGGAGAACACACAGGCCUUUCCAGCCUGCAGAAGCUGUAGACCCUCUCCGGAGAGCAGGACUGGUAAGGAAUGGGGCUGAGGGGACACACAACCCCCAAGAAAGAGUACGCACUUCAAGACUUUGAAAACUCAGCCUUGGGUUCAGCUCAUCUGGGUUCAAAUUUCCACCUUACCACUUAGCAACUGUAUGACUUCAAGCAAAUGAAUCACUGCUCAAAACCUCAGUUUCUUCACCUGUAAAAUGGGAUCGUAAGACCGACUCCACAGGAUUGUGAUGACCCUAGGAUGAGAUAACCAAGGUCCAGAGAGAAGGGACCCAGCUAGGGGCCUCCCACUGAAGCCGGGACACCGACACCGCUGGAGCUCAAACCCAGUGUUCCCGUCCUCCUCACAAGAAAGGAGCUUCCCACACUAGUGUGGAUUCUCGGAGAUGAGAUGGAGGGGGCGCAAGGAAGGCGGCCCCAAUGGGGUCCUUAAGGGGUCAGGACCGGUUGACACCCUGUUGUCCCGAAACCUCUUCUGAACAUUUCUGAGAAACAAGAUCAACGUCUGUUGCCUCAGCAUGACCUUCCCGAGUAUACAAUGUCCUCCGUUCUCUGCACCCAGAUGUGUCUCCCUCCUCUUCCUCACCCCCCACCCCACACACAACACAGCACCAGCUGGUGGUGCUCUUAUCUGCUUGUUAUUAAUUUUUAACAUCUCUUCAGGGUCACGGGUCUAGAUCCAAUAUCUCCAUAACAGAGGGGUGGGCCACCCUCCUGACCACCUCGACUGCUCUCUCAGCAGCCGCUAAGGUGGCCCCAUGAUUAUUCCCCUCCCCCACACUGCAAACAAGUCUACUUGGCCAAAGGUUGACUGUCUUCAGUAAUGAAAAACAACUUAACAGCUGGACUGUUCUCACCAGGUAAGUGGGACAGGGAGUCACAGAGAUAGAUCUAUUUUUAAGGCCAUAAAAGGGCUGAGGAGCUCUCUAAGGUCCUCGGGGUGACAGAUGUCCCAGCUACUCCAUGACUUUCUGAGGGUGGAGCCUGAGUGCUAAGGGGAGAGAGGAAUGGCUCUGAGCCCUGUGAGCCUCCCAAGCAGGCAGCCCAGGCUGGCAGAUAGGGCUGGAAGCAGCUAGAAGGCAAAGGGCCUGAAGCCCCUCUGGGCAGAGGCAUUGGCAUCCCUGAGUGUCCUAGGACCUGACCCCAUUACCAGGAAUCUGCAUAGACUUGCCGCACCUAGCCCUGCCGAGGGAGUCUUCGCAGGAGUAAACAGAUGUGGCGGCCGCUAGCAGGACUGCGAGCAAGGAGGAACUCAGGGAACCUGGGUGGCUCAGUGGGUUAAGCCUCUGCCUUCGGCUCUGGUCAUGAUCCCAGGGUCCUGGGA